rnacentral:tRNA from 1 species
UCCUCAAUAGCUUAGUGGUAGAGCAGUCGGCUGUUAACUGACUGGUCGUAGGUUCGAAUCCUACUUGGGGAG